rnacentral:lncRNA from 1 species
CCUCAAUAGAGAAAGGCCAGAGCUGGAAAACAUUUCUUGAUUAUGCAUGUUCGAGGAUGAGUAAUAUAUUUCCUUUCUUAUCAGUUGGAACACAUAAGGAGCAAGCAAUUUAGUUUCCAACUUAGAGGAACAUCACACACUCAGCUAAGUUUUGAGGAAGCAUUUCCUCUGUUCCUUCCAGAUAUCUUAAUCAUCUUCAUGUUCAUCAU